UAUACUGGGGAGAAGGGACAAAGGCAAGAA
rnacentral:piRNA from 1 species